CUCUGCCCCGAUACCACGGAACAACAGUUUCAGCCGAAAAUCUUCCGUUACCCCGUUCCCUACGAAAUUCCGCCGAAUACAGGCCAUAGUUUAUGUUGUUUUUCGAUACUUCGUAACUGUUAAGGUCAGGUUAUUUUAGAUUUCGUGCCAAAAUAACGUUUUAAUUAUAAAACGGAAAUAAAUAAAAGCCAUCUACGAUCAUUUUUGAACGAGUUUAGAUUUAUCAAGUACAAUCAC